rnacentral:rRNA from 1 species
UACGUAGGGGGCUAGCGUUGUCCGGAUUUAUUGGGCGUAAAGAGCGUGUAGGCGGCCAGGUAGGUCUGCUGUGAAAACUCGAGGCUCAACCUCGAGACGUCGGCGGAAACCAUCUGGCUAGAGUCCGGAAGAGGAGAGUGGAAUUCCUGGUGUAGCGGUGAAAUGCGCAGAUAUCAGGAAGAACACCCGUGGCGAAGGCGGCUCUCUGGGACGGUACUGACGCUGAGACGCG